rnacentral:lncRNA from 1 species
AAUACACCUGCGGACACGGGAGGAGGAGGAACCAGGCUAUCGGAGAAGUUACCGCAGGCUGAAGGUGCCAUCCCUCGAGCAAACGCGCGAAGCAUCGCGGCAGAAGGCACGGGAGAGCAGCCGCCGGGCCGAACGCAGCCUGUAUGCAGGCGGCCCCGGGGGGCAGGCGGCAGCCCGGGGCCCCUCCUUCCCCCUUCCCCGGGCCGGGGCGGGCGGCGCCGGCGGCCCAGUGCCGCGGCGAGGCCGCAACGCUGUGCUGGGGCGGGCCGGGGCGGGCCCUGCGGCCCGGCACUGCAUGGGAGGAGNNNNNNNNNNNNNNNNNNNNCCCCCGCCCCGGCCGGAGGAAGAUGGAGCUGGGUUAGUGAGGGCUUGCGGGAGGAGCAGCGGCGGCAGGUAAGGGCUGCUUCUCCCUCCUCGUCCUCCUCGUCCUCCUCCUCCGCUCCCCGGUGCCGUGCAGCGGCAGGUGGCCCAGGUGUGCCCGGCCCGGCCCGGCCCGGCCCGGCCCGCAGCGCUGCCCUUGCCCGCGGGCUGCCCUUGCCUCGCCCCGGCCGCAGGAGAUCCCGCUGCGUGCCCUCGGCCGUGCCGCUAAGGGCAAAGCCGGGCGCUGGGGCCCCCUCCCCGUGCCGCUGGGGCGGGGAGGUGGGCAGGUUUGCCGCCCCUGCCCCCGCCCCGGCCCCCCCAGCUCGCCGCUCAGCUCCGGGAAGGGUUUCUGCAUUGCAGGCUCUCGCCCCGGCUCCGCUUCUGCAUUCGCGGCUUUAUCUCAGCACAGGAGCCCGCGCCCUGGCCGGCUGGGCCGGUCCUGCUCGGGCAGGAGGCCGCUUUGGGCAGGUGGCAUCGCCUCCUGUGCCUCCCCAGCCCUGUCAGGGCUUUUGGGGUAUCGGCCUCCGGCAGGGAGGUGUUAGAUGCACGAAUGGUAUGUGUUCUGCCUCUGAAAGGUACAGCUACGGAGGGGAAGCUGUCAGGAUCUGGGCGAAUAACGGUCAUUCGGAGUUUGCGGGGUGUGACACGGUGCAGUGA